AGCCCAGCCCUCACCCCCCCAGGUCCCUGCAGGUCUAGAUGGCCCAGAACGUCCAGGGGAAGCCCUGGGUCCUAGCCGGCCGCUGCCAGCAAGUGCCCAGGCCUUUGAGGUCCCAGAGUGGGGAUGCUCUGUGUGCCCAAGCCA